AUUACGAUGUGCGUUCGAUAAAGUGCAACCGUCGAACGAGAAUGCAAUCACGCGACAAACGCUUUAAUAUUGAGAAUGAGUCAUACGCCUUCGACGAACAUCGUUUUAAGUGCAACCGAACUGAAUAUGGUUAUAUUCUAGCGCUAACUUAUCAAGAGACUUAACGUCGCUAGAUCGUUGUUGCAACAUGGUCGUUCGUGAAUUGACAUCGCGUCCCGUAAUUAAAACACGAACCAAUACGUGAUCGAGCGCCAGUAUAAUCGGUUACGUUGUAGUUAUUUGUGAAUCGACUCUAAUUUCUUACGCGUAUGACAUGGCGUUAUAAGGAAUAUCUGUCUCUUGGGAAAUGGAAAAAUACGAAACGCGAUUAAAGCAGCCAAUGAAAUUCCAUUUGAAAAAAGAAUUCUUUGAAGAGUAUUGGAAAGGCCGAACGACUGAAAGCUGGAACUUUCGAACAGUAAUAAUCGCAACAACAGACCGAGGAAGCAUUCGAGUACAAGGCGAGGGACUUUGAAAGAACUAUCGAGGCAGAAGAACUAAAUGGGGAGAUUCACACGCGGCUGAUCUUUCGGGGACGGUGGUUGAAAUUUUUCAACCCCCGACGACACUCUCGCUGCAUUGUACUCUCGAUACAAGAUAGUUACGUUGGAGCGUAAGUACGUCUGGAAGUUACAAUAUUCUUCAGGAAACGAAACGUCUCUCUCGAUCGAGCCUCUGUAGAAAAACACAGUAUCUUCAAAUAGAUGAUAAUUCGUCAAUUCGCGCGGGUGACGAAGAAACGUUUAGGAAUAAACACUCCUUUUUUU